rnacentral:sRNA from 1 species
GAGAUCGAAGAAAACUCAUAGUAU